CAGCCAUAAACUCAGCAAGAUCCUAACAUGAUAUCACAAUUCUUGGCUAUAAAAGCAGCAUAAUAAGCAAAAGAACCUGGUACCUAGCACUAUUUCCUGUCACAACCUUCGUACUCAGAAAGUCAGCUCCACCCAAAAUACACAAAACCAGGAAAUUAAGAGGAAGACAGUUGUGACAAUGGCAUGGAGGACAGAUCAGAGGAGGCCA